AUUGAACGCUGGCGGCAGGCCUAACACAUGCAAGUCGAACGAGUGGCGGACGGGUGAGUAAUGUCUGGGAAACUGCCCGAUGGAGGGGGAUAACUACUGGAAACGGUAGCUAAUACCGCAUACCAUCGGAUGUGCCCAGAUGGGAUUAGCUAGUAGGUGGGGUAAAGGCUCACCUAGGCGGCGAGCCCUAGCUGGGCUGAGAGGCUGACCAGCGACACUUGAAAGGAGACACGGUCCAGACUCUUGCGGGGGGCAGCGGUGGGGAAAAUGGAACAAUGGGCGCAAGCUGAUGCAGCCAUGCCGCGUGUAUGAAGAAGGCCUUCGGGUUGUAAAGUACUUUCAGCGAGGAGGCGUUACUCGCAGAAGAAGCACCGGCUAACUCCGUGCCAGCAGCCGCGGUAAUAC
rnacentral:rRNA from 1 species